UACGUAGGGUGCAAGCGUUAAUCGGAAUUACUGGGCGUAAAGCGUGCGCAGGCGGUUUUAUAAGACAGUUGUGAAAGCCCCGGGCUCAACCUGGGAAUGGCGAUGGAAACUGGCGAGCUAGAGUACGGUAGAGGAGAGUGGAGUUCCCGGUGUAGCAGUGAAAUGCGUAGAGAUCGGGAGGAACAUCAGUUGCGAAGGCGGCUCUCUGGACCAGUACUGACGCUGAGGCACGAAAGCGUGGGGAGCAAACAGG
rnacentral:rRNA from 1 species